rnacentral:rRNA from 1 species
AUGAAUAAAAAAGGAACAGUUCGAGUAGUAUCUACAAAUAUUACCGAAAACAUUGUUAAAAUACUCCUACGAGAGAGUUUUAUUGAAAGUGUUCGAAAACAUCAGGAACGUAACAGAUAUUUCUUGGUUUCAACUGUGCGACAUCAAAAGAGAAAGACUAGAAAAGAAAUAUAUAGAACAAGAACCUUUUUAAAGCGUAUCAGCGGGGGUUCCGCUGAGAGCAAAGCUCAACAAGCCUAG